AACCACCCCUGCUUCUGAGGUCUAACUGGAAGAUGUAGGAAAAGCCAUAGCCAGGUGGAGGAAGAGGCCACAAGCCAAGGCACGCAGGUGGCCUCUUAAAGCUGUGAAAGACAAGAAAGGGAUUCUCUUCUAAAGCUUCCAGAAGGAAUGCAGCUCUGCCGAUACGUCCGAUUAGCCUACAGAAGACCUUAUUCAAACUUCUAAUCUCCA
rnacentral:lncRNA from 1 species